AUUGAACGCUGGCGGCAUGCUUUACACAUGCAAGUCGAACGGUAACAGGCCGCAAGGUGCUGACGAGUGGCGAACGGGUGCGUAAUGCAUCGGAACGUGCCCAGUCGUUGGGGAUAACUACUCGAAAGAGUAGCUAAUACCGCAUACGAUCUAUGGAUGAAAGCGGGGGACCGUAAGGCCUCGCGCGAUUGGAGCGGCCGAUGUCAGAUUAGUUAGUUGGUGGGGUAAAGGCUCACCAAGGCAACGAUCUGUAGCUGGUCUGAGAGGACGACCAGCCACACUGGGACUGAGACACGGCCCAGACUCCUACGGGAGGCAGCAGUGGGGAAUUUUGGACAAUGGGCGCAAGCCUGAUCCAGCAAUGCCGCGUGCAGGAAGAAGGCCUUCGGGUUGUAAAAUGCUUUUGUAAGGAACGAAACGGCUCUGGUUAAUACCCGGAGCUAAUGACGGUACCGUAAGAAUAAGCACCGGCUAACUACGUG
rnacentral:rRNA from 1 species